UACGUAGGGCGCAAGCGUUAUCCGGAAUUAUUGGGCGUAAAGAGCUCGUAGGCGGUUUGUCGCGUCUGCCGUGAAAACCUAGGGCUUAACUCUGGGCGUGCAGUGGGUACGGGCAGGCUAGAGUGCGGUAGGGGAGACUGGAAUUCCUGGUGUAGGCGGUGAAAUGCGCAGAUAUCAGGAGGAACACCGGUGGCGAAGGCGGGUCGCUGGGCCGUAACUGACGCUGAGGAGCGAAAGCAGUGGGGAGCGAACAGG
rnacentral:rRNA from 1 species